CUACAAAGUGAGUUCCAUGACAGACAGGCUGUUACGAAGAAAAACAGUCUUGAAAAAAAAACAAACAAAAAUAAAAGGGAGAGGUUCAGAACUUAAGUUUAAUCACGAUUAGUUAGCAUUAGGAAGAACCUUAAAAACUAUUUGUAUCUGUAGGAUAUACCAUGAUUAAUAUUGGGAAUAGUCUGGAAUUAACAUUUGUUGUGUAAUCAUUUUAGGAAGCAAACCUUCAGCUAAAUGCUCUAAAUAAAUGGGCAUUGAAGAAGUGAUGGAGUAUAUCAACAGAAUCCUGGACACACAGAAUGUUAAAACUGAAAUUAGUUUCAGUUCUGAUUUUAAUCUGCUUUAUUAUGGAGGACAUAUGUUCUAAAGUUACCAAUGUUUAUAUAGUUUUUUUUUAACUUACCUGGUUAAUUUUUGACAUUCCCAUCCUAUUUAAAAAAAAAAAGCUGUGAAGAUUUUGGAAUUGUAGAAAAUGUAACUAACACAGGAGUAAAUUAAUACAAAGUAUCACAGCCCUGUUCAAACAGUUUCAAGGUAGAGUAUCCUGUGAGGUGGGCUUUUUCUUUUUAAUUUAUUUCUAUGAAAGAACUCUCCUAAGAGCUCACAGGUAUGGAGACUUAAUGUAAUCUCACUUGCACGACAUCAGCAGAGAAGACAAAUUGAUUAUCUCUUGCUGUUCCUCAUUUCUAGUAAUUCCAACUGAAGCUACUUGGAAGCUUCCUGUACAGUGUAAUAAGAUUUUUGAACAUGUCACUAUGGCCAUUAUUUUUCAUUAUCUGCUCCAGAAGUUGCUUUGGCUAAUCAGCUUUCCACUGUAGCACUCAGAGCAUCUAAGAGGCUGACAGACAUCCUUGUGAGCAUCCCACAUCACUCAGCUGCCUCUGGGCGAUGAUCUCUGAAUGUGUCUUCCUAUCAUUUUUUUUUCUUUUUUCUUUUUUAAAGAGAGGAAUUGACAAAGAGUCCUUCAGCUAUGCUUAGACUGGUUUGGACUCCAUGUAAGGAUAGACAGGACCCUUAUUUCUUCUCUCAGUGUACAGCCUUCUGUUCCUACAUAGCACAUCACUAUGUAUUUAGCAGCUCAAAAAUAACACACAUUUCUGGCCACACAUUUGUCAUAGUGCCAAGCUCUGGGCCUAGACCAGAAUUACACAAUGAAGCAGUUUGAGAUGCCUUCAGGCUAUAUUCUAGUCUGCAGGCAGAACCUGCUUAAGCCCUUUUGGAUUCUAUCUUAGUAGCUGUGGCUGCCGUUGAGGAUUUGGCCUUUUGGUAUUUGUAGACGUAGGGUCUACUCUGGUCCUUGCCACGUGGCUUUCUCAUCAUGGUCACUUAGGUCUUUAAGGAGACUCACCCCAACCCACUAAACCUGUGUCUGAUAGAGUAGUGAUGGAAAUGAGGUCCUAAUUCCUACGCUCUGUUCUGUUGAUUAGAACAAGUUGCAGGGGAAAACAGCAAGACUGUAUGUAUCAGAGGAGACAGAGCCGUCGGGACGCCAUGGGGUCCUGCCCCUACUCAAGUGUUCCAUACUCCCUGCACUUCCAACCUCCGGUUAUCACAUCACAUCUUUUGCUUAAGUGAGUGAUGACGGAAAACCUUUAGCUGGCUUCUCUUUGGUUCCUAGGGAUGUGACUAAUUUGUGUUCCAUGCCUGAGCUUCUUUCCACUGUAGGAUCCCUCAUGGUUACUCAGGGUGGGGAGAGAGUUCCAGAGGAUCUCAGAGGAAAACAGAAACUGCUCUAGAGGAAGGGAGAGUCGGGCUAGCUCCAUGCUUCAUGUGGCAUUAACCGUAUUUCUGCUCGGCUUCUCAUUAUGCCACCCAGGAAAGCCAUUUAGGUUAUAACAACAAAUUAGCACCCAGAUGGCACACAUGCUGGUGAAAGAGCCCUACAGUUAGGGGGAAACCCAUCCCCACCCACUCUUUCUCUGUUCUUGUUAUAAAAUUAGAAUGUCUGCCCUCUCCUGCAAGCCAGCCAAAGAAAGACGUAUCCCCAGAGUGCUAGUUAAUGAAAGAAUUGCUUUUCAGAAUCUGACUGAGAAGAUGGAAGGAAAAAUAAAACCCUAGGGUGAGUCCUACUGUGCCGAACUAUAAUGAACCUAAAGAUAAUUAAAAGGGGUAAAUAAAAAGAAAAAAAAUAUUGACCUUUUACAGGUUUUUAGUAAUUUAGUAUUGUUGAUACAUUUGUAUUUUUCUAAAAAUUUAGGGUCCGUGUUUUUAUCAGUACAACUUAGCUUAUUCCUGUUUUUGUUUUUAUUAACGUUUUGCUUUUAAAGUGCUUUAGAAAGGCCCACAGCACGGGGUGAUGCCCUCUGCCCUCCUGUCCCUUGCCACUUGUUGCAGGUGGGAGAGUUGGCUCUGGGGUCAUUGGAGG
rnacentral:lncRNA from 1 species